GAAAUGCGAUAAGUAAUGUGAAUUGCAGAAUUCAGUGAAUCAUCGAAUCUUUGAACGCACAUUGCGCCCGCCAGUAUUCUGGCGGGUAUGCCUGUUCGAGCGUCAUUUCAACCAUCAAGCCCCCGGGCUUGUGUUGGGGACCUGCGGCUGCCGCAGGCCCCGAAAACCAGUGGCGGGCUCGCUGUCACACCGGGCGUAGUAGAUUUUUCGUCUCGCCCAGGGCGUGCUGCGGGUUCCGGCCGUUAAAAAGCCUCUCUUUUAACCCAAGGUUGACCUCGGAUCAGGUAGGAAGACCCGCUGAACUUAAGC
rnacentral:misc_RNA from 1 species